CCUACGGGUGGCUGCAGUGAGGAAUAUUGGUCAAUGGGCGGGAGCCUGAACCAGCCAAGCCGCGUGAGGGAAGAAGGUACAGCGUAUCGUAAACCUCUUUUGUCAGGGAACAAAGGCGGGGACUAGUCCCCGGAUGAGGGUACCUGAAGAAAAAGCAUCGGCUAACUCCGUGCCAGCAGCCGCGGUAAUACGGAGGAUGCGAGCGUUAUCCGGAUUUAUUGGGUUUAAAGGGAGCGUAGGCCGGUCUUUAAGCGUGCCGUGAAAUUUUGUGGCUCAACCAUGAGAGUGCGGCGCGAACUGGAGACGUUGAGUGCGCGGAAGGCAGGCGGAAUUCGUGGUGUAGCGGUGAAAUGCUUAGAUAGCACGAAGAACCCCGAUUGCGAAGGCAGCCUGCCGCAGCGUUACUGACGCUGAAGCUCGAAAGCGCGGGUAUCGAACAGGAUUAGAUACCCUGGUAGUC
rnacentral:rRNA from 1 species